rnacentral:rRNA from 1 species
GACGAACGCUGGCGGCGUGCUUAACACAUGCAAGUCGAACGGAAAGGCCCUGCUUGCAGGGUGCUCGAGUGGCGAACGGGUGAGUAACACGUGGGUGAUCUGCCCCUUACUUUGGGAUAAGCCUGGGAAACUGGGUCUAAUACUGGAUAGGACCAUGCUGUAGGUGGUGUGGUGGAAAGAUUAGUUUCGGUAAGGGAUGAGCUCGCGGCCUAUCAGCUUGUUGGUGGGGUAAUGGCCUACCAAGGCGUCGACGGGUAGCCGGCCUGAGAGGGUGGACGGCCACAUUGGGACUGAGAUACGGCCCAGACUCAUACGGGAGGCAGCAGUGGGGAAUAUUGCACAAGGGGCGCAAGCCUGAUGCAGCGACGCCGCGUGGGGGAUGACGGCCUUCGGGUUGUAAACACCUUUCAGCCAUGACGAAGCCCUUGUGGUGACGGUAGUGGUAGAAGAAGCACCGGCUAACUACGUG